CUUUUUGAAGAGCCUAUAGGACGUCAGAUUUUCCUCUUCUAUGAAGCAGUACACCGCAGGCUCCUCACCAUGCAGUCUCUUUGCCAGUGUAGUGGCCAGGACUUUGGCAUAGCUUCUCCGUCUAUACUCUGGGAUAGGUCACAAUCCAGGCCACAGGCUGUCUUUCUGCAUUCAACACACACAGUAGGAGGGGAAGUUUGCGACCAUGUUCCGGAUCAUCCUGGCAGCAUUGUCCUCUCCAUAUUUCCAUGCCUGACUCACCAAGCCACAUGGGAUUCAUCCAGAGAGCCCAGUGACAGACUUGCACUGAUGCAAGACAAAACAAACCGUGUAAACAAACUGUUUGAUUUGAAGUACAAUCAUGUUUUAUUAAUCAACUGUCAAGCCCAAAUGGUCAUUUCUGGCUCACUGUAGAGUUACUAUCAUUGUAUACGUUGUCUGUACCUGUCUACAGAGGCGAGGUGGGAUACAUCCUCCAGGAUCAUUAUGUGGCACACUGCCCGUUUGUGGCAGUGUACCUGUCUUUCUGAAGCUGCAUCCUUGAGUAACUUCAUAUACUGGAGGCUGAUUGCUUCAACAGAAAGUUGCUUUAGUAGAAAGGCAAUUCAUUUUA